UAUUGGAACGUUUGUAUAACAGAAAUGGAAAUACGUUGUACGGUCUUUAUUUCCGGUUGCGGAUUCGUCGCAUGAGAUACAAGUGUUAGCCGUUUGGGCUUCCAGGCGUUCAAGUAAAGAAACUGUGCACGGUAGCUACAUGUGAUUGAUUGAAAUGAAACCCAUCCUACUGCAGGGCAUGAACGGUCCAUCACUCAGAUCAAGUUCAACGGAGAAGGAGACCUUCAGUUUUACGUCGCUAAAGAUACAAACACAAGGGUUCGAUUUCAGCGGCAACAUCAUCAUGUUUUCCACAGGCAAGCAGAUGGGCUGUCAGUGUUUCAUGAACUUCUUCGACCUGAGGGAUCCACAACAGAUCUGUAGUCUGCAGAACUCCUGAAGGCUCCUAAGGAGCACAACAGGCACAUCAAUGACAUCCAGACGUCUCUCGACCUCACCAUGUUCAUCAGUGCCUCAAAGGAGAACACCGCCAAGGUUCUUCCAAGCUGUGAACGAGGAGGAGUUUGACAGGAGUCAAAGGUCAUUUUGGUCCCAUCAACUGUGGUUCCUCCCCUGGCCGAAAGAGGUAAAUGAUUUCUGCUGAACCGAAGAAGCCUCUUGGAUGAGAGGUAAAACGUCUUAAAAAAAACCUACUUCUUUCAGUUGCCCUCAAUGUAAGUAUUUUUGGAUUAAAUGACUGAGAACCUUGUGUUAUUCCAGCUCAUUGUUGUCAUUCAUUGUGCCUUGUAUGCUAUUGUCUUAACAGAUAGAGGAACAAUGGAGGAGAAGGCCUGUGAACACAGCAGCUUGGACUCUGCCAGGAUUCAACAAAGGCCCCAUCAUCAGGAGUGGAACAACUUGCCUACACCUCUUCAUCUGGCCUGGAACACAAGAUGAAACUGGCAACAUUCCAUACAAAUGCUCUCAGGUGACUACACCAUGUUCAAAGUGUUUAGCACUAGCAUGUUACAAAAUACUUCAAAUAACUGCUAUGUAGUACUCAAGAAUCUCACAUUCAACAAUAGCAUUAAAUAAUUCAAGUAGCAAAUAGUUUUUGUACAAAGUCAAAAACAACUCUCUUAAAUACAUUUCAUACCUUUAAAAGUGAGGUUCACUCGGCUCCAAACUGAAGGACCUCUGAGCUCGGCUGGUACAUCUCCACUACUUUGGCCAUGAUCUAAACCCAAGAUGCACAUUUUAAAAACGUGUCCACAGAAACGUUGGGGAAAAAAAUAAAACUAAAUCACACUAACAGUAACAGACUUACACCCUUAAAGAUGCCUUCGUCGGAAAUUCACUGUGCAGUAUUUGCUCUUUCCAGCCCCGAUGUCCUGUAAACAUUUCACAACACACUAUAAACGCUGUCGAAAAGUUUCAUUUCAAAAACUUGACUUGUAACAGAAACCAGAGACUUUGGACUUCUUGGCGUCGCGGAGUCCACCUGCCCAGGUGAUGGCCAUACGGGUCUGCUGCUACACCUGAAAGGAAUUAAUCAAUUUCAUUUCGCACACACGCUUAAAUAAUGAAAACGUAAAUUCGUUCCCUCGACAAUAAUGUGUCGUCUUCUUCACGGAUGUCAUCGUUACAAUUCACUACAAAGUGCGAGGACCACUUUAAAUCCCCACAGAACACGUUGCUGCUUCAACAACACACAUGUUUGGACCAGUCAAACCAAACGGUCUUCGUGCAGAUAUUUAGGGGCCAAA